CUACGGGUGGCACCAGUAGGGAAUAUUGCACAAUGGACGAAAGUCUGAUGCAGCAACGCCGCGUGUGCGAUGAAGGCCUUCGGGUUGUAAAGCACUUUUCUGAGGGAAGAGGAAGGACGGCACCUCAGGAAUAAGUCUCAGCUAACUACGUGCCAGCAGCCGCGGUAACACGUAGGAGGCAAGCGUUAUCCGGAUUUACUGGGCGUAAAGCGCGUGCAGGCGGUUCGGUAAGUUGGAUGUGAAAGCUCCUGGCUCAACUGGGAGAUGCCGUUCAAUACUGCCGGACUCGAGGACGGUAGAGGGAGGUGGAAUUCCCGGUGUAGUGGUGAAAUGCGUAGAUAUCGGGAGGAACACCAGUGGCGAAAGCGGCCUCCUAGGCCGUUCCUGACGCUAAGACGCGAAAGCAUGGGUAGCGAACGGGAUUAGAUACCCGCGUAGUC
rnacentral:rRNA from 1 species